UAACCUUAACUACAAAUGGUUCUGUACUGU
rnacentral:piRNA from 1 species